GGUGCCUAUACCACGUGACUUUUCAAGAUCUGUGUGGGGAGUAAAAUAUCAACAAAAGCGCGACGAAGAUAAGAUUUUUUAGGAUAACUUUUUUAAUAUGUCACCAUUUUCAAUGGGAUAAAGUGGAGAGCCCGCUCAUUCAUGAGAGUUUUCUAUAGGUAUGGCUCAUAUGCUCCGAAUGCGGAAAAAUGUUGGAGACCAGAGCUGGAUUAUUACGCCACGUUAGGAGACACGCUAACUCUGGAAACUAUUACUGUCGUGGGAAAGCAUUUCAGGAUGCCUACAAUCUUAGAAGGCGUCAAAGAACGAAGGACCCAAAUGUCACGUGUGUGUACAGUGCGGCAGGAGCUUUGCGGACAAGUACCUACUCGUGGCUUGAGAGAAAAGUGCAAAAAAGAGCGAUUUGUGAAAUGUUACCAAUGUGGGUUGGCAUUAAGAGUGAGAAUGACCUCAAAGAGCUCGACAAGACCCACAUGCCUGACAAGUGUUACAGGUGUGAGGAGUGUUUCAAAACGUACAAACGCAAAACAAACCUUUCUCGACACGUGAGGACUUUACAUAAAUAAAUCCGUGAAUACUGAUUAAAAAUCAUAAUAGUUUACUGUUUGUCUGUGUAACUUGAUUAUCGUUUAACGUCAUUAUCCCCUACCGGUGAAGUUCUUCAUAUUUUUUCAUGAAACUUGAAACAUUGAUA